AUCCUGGCUCAGAUUGAACGCUGGCGGCAGGCCUAACACAUGCAAGUCGAGCGGUAGCACAGAGAGCUUGCUCUCGGGUGACGAGCGGCGGACGGGUGAGUAAUGUCUGGGAAACUGCCUGAUGGAGGGGGAUAACUACUGGAAACGGUAGCUAAUACCGCAUAAUGUCGCAAGACCAAAGUGGGGGACCUUCGGGCCUCAUGCCAUCAGAUGUGCCCAGAUGGGAUUAGCUAGUAGGUGGGGUAAUGGCUCACCUAGGCGACGAUCCCUAGCUGGUCUGAGAGGAUGACCAGCCACACUGGAACUGAGACACGGUCCAGACUCCUACGGGAGGCAGCAGUGGGGAAUAUUGCACAAUGGGCGCAAGCCUGAUGCAGCCAUGCCGCGUGUAUGAAGAAGGCCUUCGGGUUGUAAAGUACUUUCAGCGAGGAGGAAGGCAUUAAGGUUAAUAACCUUAGUGAUUGACGUUACUCGCAGAAGAAGCACCGGCUAACUCCGUGCCAGCAGCCGCGGUAAUACGGAGGGUGCAAGCGUUAAUCGGAAUUACUGGGCGUAAGGCGCACGCAGGCGGUCUGUUAAGUCAGAUGUGAAAUCCCCGGGCUCAACCUGGGAACUGCAUUUGAAACUGGCAGGCUUGAGUCUUGUAGAGGGGGGUAGAAUUCCAGGUGUAGCGGUGAAAUGCGUAGAGAUCUGGAGGAAUACCGGUGGCGAAGGCGGCCCCCUGGACAAAGACUGACGCUCAGGUGCGAAA
rnacentral:rRNA from 1 species